rfam:Nannochloropsis gaditana chloroplast, complete genome.
GGAGAGAUGGCAGAGUGGUCGAUUGCGUCUGACUUGAAAUCAGAAGAACUAGGAAUGGUUCCGUGGGUUCGAAUCCCACUCUCUCUU